UAAGUGACUGUUGUUAGUUGGAAUGAC
rnacentral:piRNA from 1 species